rnacentral:rRNA from 1 species
GACGGAGGGGGCAAGCGUUGUCCGGACUCACUGGGCGUAAAGGGUGCGCAGGCGGCAGAGCGCGUCCGCGCUGAAAUCUGUCGGCUUAACUGACAGGCGCGUGCGGAUACGGCUCAGCUCGAGGCACGGAGAGGGUGGGGGAACUCCUGGUGUAGUGGUGAAAUGCGUAGAGAUCAGGAAGAACACCAACGGCGAAGGCAGCUCUCUGGGACGUUACUGACGCUGAGACGCGAAAGCGUGGGGAGCAAACAGG